GCCGGGCGCGGUGGCACGUGCCUGUAGUCCCAGCUACUCCGGAGGCUGAGGUGGGAGGAUCAUUUGAGCCCAGGAGUUCUGGGCUGCAGUGCGCUAUGCCGAUCGGGUGUCUACACUAAGUUCGGCAUUAAUAUGGUGGAGGACACCAGGUUGCCUAAAGAGGGCUGAACCGGCCCAGGUCGGAAACAGAGCAGGUCAAAACUCCUGUGCUGAUCAGUAGUGGGAUCACACCUGUGAAUAGCCACUGCACCCCAGCCUGGGCAACACAGUGCACUUAA
rnacentral:SRP_RNA from 1 species